rnacentral:rRNA from 1 species
AGGGAAUAUUGCAAAAUGGGCGAAAGCCCGAUGCAGCAACGCCGCGUGGGCGAUGAAGGCCUUCGGGUCGUAAAGCCCUUUUUGAGGGGAUGAGGAAGGACAGUACCCUCAGAAUAAGCCUCGGCUAACUACGUGCCAGCAGCCGCGGUAAAACGUAGGAGGCGAGCGUUAUCCGGAUUUACUGGGCGUAAAGCGCGUGCAGGCGGAUUGGAGAGUUGGAUGUGAAAGCUCCCGGCUUAACUGGGAGAGGUCGUUCAAUACUUCCAGUCUUGAGUGCAGUAGAGGGAAGUGGAAUUCCGGGUGUAGUGGUCAAAUGCGUAGAUAUCCGGAGGAACACCAGUGGCGAAAGCGGCUUCCUGGACUGUAACUGACGCUCAGACGCGAAAGCUAGGGUAGCAAACG